AGAGUUUGAUCCUGGCUCAGAUUGAACGCUGGCGGCAUGCUUUACACAUGCAAGUCGAACGGCAGCACGGGGGCAACCUUGGUGGCGAGUGGCGAACGGGUGAGUAAUACAUCGGAAUGUAUCCUUGAGUGGGGGAUAACGCAGCGAAAGUUGUGCUAAUACCGCAUGAGCUCUGAGGAGGAAAGUGGGGGACCGUAAGGCCUCACGCUGAAGGGGCGGCCGAUGUCCGAUUAGCUAGUUGGUGAGGUAAAGGCUCACCAAGGCUUCGAUCGGUAGCUGGUCUGAGAGGAUGAUCAGCCACAUUGGGACUGAGACACGGCCCAGACUCCUACGGGAGGCAGCAGUGGGGAAUUUUGGACAAUGGGGGCAACCCUGAUCCAGCCAUGCCGCGUGAGUGAAGAAGGCCUUCGGGUUGUAAAGCUCUUUCGUGAGGGAAGAAACGGCCAUAGUGAAUAGCUGUGGUUACUGACGGUACCUCAAGAAGAAGCACCGGCUAAUUUCGUGCCAGCCGCCGCGGU
rnacentral:rRNA from 1 species